rnacentral:rRNA from 1 species
UACGUAGGGUGCGAGCGUUGUCCGGAAUUAUUGGGCGUAAAGGGCUCGUAGGCGGUUUGUCGCGUCGGGAGUGAAAUCCACUGGCUUAACUGGUGGCUUGCUUUCGAUACGGGCAGACUGGAGGUAUGCAGGGGGAGAACGGAAUUCCUGGUGUAGCGGUGAAAUGCGCAGAUAUCAGGAGGAACACCGGUGGCGAAGGCGGGGUCUCUGGGGCCGAUACUGACGUGAGGGAGCGAAAAGCGUGGGGGAGCGAACAGG